rnacentral:rRNA from 1 species
CUACGGGAGGCAGCAGUGGGGAAUCUUAGACAAUGGGGGCAACCCUGAUCUAGCCAUGCCGCGUGAGUGAUGAAGGCCUUAGGGUCGUAAAGCUCUUUCGCCAGAGAUGAUAAUGACAGUAUCUGGUAAAGAAACCCCGGCUAACUCCGUGCCAGCAGCCGCGGUAAUACGGAGGGGGUUAGCGUUGUUCGGAAUUACUGGGCGUAAAGCGCGCGUAGGCGGAUUGGAAAGUUGGGGGUGAAAUCCCAGGGCUCAACCCUGGAACUGCCUUUGAUACUGCUAGUCUAGAGUUCGAGAGAGGUGAGUGGAAUUCCGAGUGUAGAGGUGAAAUUCGUAGAUAUUCGGAGGAACACCAGUGGCGAAGGCGGCUCACUGGCUCGAUACUGACGCUGAGGUGCGAAAGUGUGGGGAGCAAACAGGAUUAGAUACCCUGGUAGUCCACACCGUAAACGAUGAAUGCCAGACGUCGGGCAGCAUGCUGUUCGGUGUCACACCUAACGGAUUAAGCAUUCCGCCUGGGGAGUACGGUCGCAAGAUUAAAACUCAAAGGAAUUGACGG